rnacentral:rRNA from 1 species
AUGGCGACAAGCAUGCGUUGGAUAGCGCUCUUCUUGCUGGUCGCCGUGUCUGCUCUGGCCGUUUCUGCCAUCAUCGAGGAUGGCCUGUUACCCAACGGGGACUUCAGAAACGGGCCAGACAAGUCCCAGAUGAAGGGCCCGGUGCUGACGGGGAAGCACGCGAUACCCAACUGGGAGCUCUCGGGGUUCGUGGAGUAUAUCGAGUCGGGGCACACGCAGGCCGACAUGAUGCUGCCGGUUCCGGUGGGCGCGAACGCCGUGCGGCUGGGCAACGACGCCACCAUCCGGCAGCAGCUCAAGGUCGCCCGCCACACCUACUACUCCAUCUCCUUCAUCGCCGCGCGGUCAUGCGCCCAGGAGGAGAAGCUCAACGUGUCGGUCGACCCGGAGUUCGGCCUGCUCCCGAUCCAGACCGUGUACACCAACACCGGCUGGGACACCUACUCCUGGGCGUUCAAGCCCAGGCACACCACCGUGUGGCUCUCCAUCCACAACACCGGCAUCGAGGAGAACCCGGCGUGCGGCCCUCUCAUCAUCGCCGUCGCCAUCAAGACCCUCUACCCUCAGCUGUACAACAAGGGCAACAUGGUGAAGAAUGGGGACUUCGAGCAGGGGCCGUACAUCUUCCCGAACACGCCGUGGGGCGUGCUGAUGCCGCCGAUCUUCGAGGACGUGCACUCGCCGCUCCCGUGGUGGAUGAUCAUGUCGGACACCAAGGUGGUCAAGUACAUCGACGCGCAGCACCACGCGGUGCCCAAGGGCGCGCGCGCCGUGGAGCUGGUGGCCGGCGUGGAGGUCGCGCUGGUGCAAGAGGUGCUGGGCACCGUGCCCGGGCGGUCGUACAGGCUCACGUUCUCCGUCGGGGACGCGCGCAACGGAUGCGUCGGGUCCCUGGGCGUGGACGUGUACGCGGCGCGGGAGAGGCUGAGGGUCUCGUACGUGUCCCGCGGCACCGGCGGGCACAAGUGCGGCAAGCUCGAGUUCACGGCGAUCGCGGACAAGACGCGCGUGGUGUUCCAGAGCUCGAACCACCACACCGUCAACGCCACGCUGUGCGGGCCCGUCGUUGACGACGUCUGGCUCGUCAGGCUCAAGUAG